rnacentral:rRNA from 1 species
UACGGAGGGUGCGAGCGUUAAUCGGAAUUACUGGGCGUAAAGGGUGCGUAGGUGGUUGUAUAAGUUAACUGUGAAAUCCCCGGGCUCAACCUGGGCAGGUCAGUUAAGACUGUAUGACUCGAGUAUGGGAGAGGGUAGUGGAAUUUCCGGUGUAGCGGUGAAAUGCGUAGAGAUCGGAAGGAACACCAGUGGCGAAGGCGGCUACCUGGCCCAAUACUGACACUGAGGCACGAAAGCGUGGGGAGCAAACAGG